CUUGGAGAUAAAAGUACCUCAGAUUGAAAUUCAUCACUGGACUCUGUGUUUGGCUUUUGGUGUCGACAUCACUCUUGACUUUGAAAGAAGGACUCUCGUGAUUUUCAGCCAUGAAACUUCUGGUCCUCAUUCUGUGCUUCAUAGCUUUAAGUUAUGCAUUUCCUGUCUCUGAGGAGAAUGAUCGAGUCAAACGCUCAGGGAGUUAUGAGAUGAGCCGAUUCAUGCUUCAGUAUCCGUCACUCUACUCCAGCUAUCAACCCAACUUGACAGCGUUGCUGCAAUUUCUGUUGGCAGCAGGGAAAUGAAAAUCGGUUUUCUCACCUUCAGCAUUUUGUUCUUUAAGUAACUGAAAUUGAAUAAACAAAUCAUUAAAAAUAAACAAAUAAAUGA